AGGAUAUAUAUUAUCUUGCGACAUAAAUUAUUUCUGUCUCAAUCUCGUGACAGAAUUUAUAUUUCUGUCCCAAAUUUAAGAUGAAAAGGAUAGAACACGAGAUAAGUGAGAACCCUAAGUACCUCUCUCGCGCCGCCGUCACCUGAGUUCUAGAUCUGCAUCGCUCCUUUUUCCGCCUCAAGCUUCAUCCCACUCCUCCAUCUCUCCAUUCCUCCAUGUGUUGAUAAAUUUGUUGUUUCUUCUAGAUUUACUAGCAAUCUUCAACAAUUCUCGAUUUCAAUCUGUGUUUUGAUUUCUUCUACUUGUUUGAUUGUUUCUAUUCUUAGAUCUAACUGAUGUUUUGAUUUAUCAUCCUAGUCGUUCUCCUUCCGUGUCUCCGGCGUGUCUGCGACGUUGCUCCUUGCGUCUCAGCUUCCUAUUUCUGGCGGUGCUUUUCGUUCCUCCUGUUGCUGGCAAACCAAAAGAAGACGACAAUGAGUAGUAGGAUUUGUCUUUGGUGAUUAUGGCAAAACUUUCAGGACAUUUCACAAACCACAUGAUGAUUUUAUCAAAGGAAAUCUCACAAUCAACCAUUGUUCAUAUGUGAUUCCAUCAACUUGUCUACUAUUCUUAUAGAAGGAAGAACAUCAAGUUUUUCUUGGUUCAAGUAUAGUUUGUAUAGAUCUGUGCAAAAUAUUGUACUUUAUUUGUCUUGAAUUUUUAUGUAACAGUUCUUCCAUUGGUGUAAUUGUUGUUGGAUAUUGUUGUGGGUUUAAUUUAAUGAAAUAUAAAAGCUUUGCGUUUA